CAAGUACUCCCUCCGUUCUAAAUUACUUGUCUUGGAUUUGUCUAGAUACAGAAGUAUCUAUAGAUACUUCUGUAUCUAGACAAAUCCAAGACAAGUAAUUUAGAACGGAGGGAGUAGGUC
rnacentral:pre_miRNA from 1 species